UACAGAGACCUCAAGCGUUAUCCGGAAUUACUGGGCGUAAAGCGCACGUAGGCGGCUUUGUAAGUUAGAGGUGAAAGCCCAGGGCUUAACUCUGGAAUUGCCUUUAAGACUGCAUCGCUAGAAUCGUGGAGAGGUGAGUGGAAUUCCGAGUGUAGAGGUGAAAUUCGUAGAUAUUCGGAAGAACACCAGUGGCGAAGGCGACUCACUGGACACGUAUUGACGCUGAGGUGCGAAAGCGUGGGGAGCAAACAGG
rnacentral:rRNA from 1 species